CACGUGAGGGGCAAGCGUUGUCCGGAUUUAUUGGCGUAAAGAGCUCGUAGGCGGUGUGUCACGUCGGCUGUGAAAACCCGCAGCUCAACUGUGGCUUGCAGCCGAUACGGGCGGGCUGGGGAGUUCGGUAGGGGAGACUGGAAUUCCUGGUGUAGCGGUGAAAUGCGCCAGAGUAUCAGGAGGAACACCGGUGGCGAAGCGGGCUCUG
rnacentral:rRNA from 1 species